rnacentral:rRNA from 1 species
GGAUUAGGCAUGCAAGUCGAACGAGAACCGGGUAGCAAUAUCUGGGGAAAGUGGCGAAGGGGGCAGUAAUGCGUGGGUAACCUACCCCGGGGACGGGGAUAGCCUUCCUAACGGAAGGGUAAUACCUGGCGAAUCGGCGAGGGGGCAUCCCUUUGCCGGGAAAUGAAUUUCGCCUCGGGAGGGGCUCACGUGAUAUUAGCUUGUUGGUGGGGUAACGGCCUACCAAGGCAAAGAUGUCUAGCGGGUGUGAGAGCACGACCCGCGCCACUGGCACUGAGACACUGGCCAGACUCCUACGGGAGGCUGCAGUCGAGGAUCUUUGGCAAUGGGCGCAAGCCUGACCAAGCGACGCCGCGUGUGCGAUGAAGGCCUUCGGGUUGUAAAGCACUGUCGAGGGGGAGGAAGCCGCAAGGUUGACCUAUCCCUGGAGGAAGCACGGGCUAAGUUCGUGCCAGCAGCCGCGGUAAGACGAACCGUGCGAACGUUGUUCGGAAUCACUGGGCUUAAAGGGCGCGUAGGCGGGUCGACAAGUCCGGGGUGAAAGCCCCCAGCUCAACUGGGGAAGUGCCUUGGAUACUGUCGGUCUAGAGCGAGGUAGGGGCACGUGGAACUUCGGGUGGAGCGGUGAAAUGCGUUGAUAUCCGAAGGAACGCCGGUGGCGAAAGCGACGUGCUGGAUCUCUUCUGACGCUGAGGCGCGAAAGCCAGGGGAGCAAACGGGAUUAGAUACCCCGGUAGUCCUGGCCCUAAACGAUGGGAACUAGGUUGCGGACUUAACAUGGGUUCGCAGCCGAAGCAAAAGUGGUAAGUUCCCCGCCUGGGGAGUAUGGUCGCAAGGC